AUUGAACGCUGGCGGCAGGCUUAACACAUGCAAGUCGAACGGUAGCAGGAGAAAGCUUGCUUUCUUGCUGACGAGUGGCGGACGGGUGAGUAAUGCUUGGGAAUCUGGCUUAUGGAGGGGGAUAACUACGGGAAACUGUAGCUAAUACCGCGUAGAAUCGGAAGAUGAAAGUGCGGGACCGCAAGGCCGCAUGCCAUGAGAUGAGCCCAAGUGGGAUUAGGUAGUUGGUGGGGUAAAGGCCUACCAAGCCUGCGAUCUCUAGCUGGUCUGAGAGGAUGGCCAGCCACACUGGAACUGAGACACGGUCCAGACUCCUACGGGAGGCAGCAGUGGGGAAUAUUGCGCAAUGGGGGGAACCCUGACGCAGCCAUGCCGCGUGAAUGAAGAAGGCCUUCGGGUUGUAAAGUUCUUUCGGUAUUGAGGAAGGUUGAUGUGUUAAUAGUACAUCAAAUUGACGUUAAAUACAGAAGAAGCACCGGCUAACUCCGUGCCAGCAGCCGCGGUAAUACGGAGGGUGCGAGCGUUAAUCGGAAUAACUGGGCGUAAAGGGCACGCAGGCGGUUAUUUAAGUGAGGUGUGAAAGCCCCGGGCUUAACCUGGGAAUUGCAUUUCAGACUGGGUAACUAGAGUACUUUAGGGAGGGGUAGAAUUCCACGUGUAGCGGUGAAAUGCGUAGAGAUGUGGAGGAAUACCGAAGGCGAAGGCAGCCCCUUGGGAAUGUACUGACGCUCAUGUGCGAAAGCGUGGGGAGCAAACAGG
rnacentral:rRNA from 1 species